GGCGUGCUCGACGGGCGGAGCGACCUCUAUUCGCUGGCGGUGGUUGGCUACCAGAUGCUGGCGGGUGAGCUGCCGUUCAAGGCGUCGAACACGCCG
rnacentral:tRNA from 1 species